GGAGACUACUCCUCCCAGCAUGCCUGGCGAGGCGCGCACCGCGCUGGCCCUCUCUCCUGGGACACGCACCGCCUCCAAUCCUGGUUUAUGCUGGGAUUGUAGUCAGGCAGCCCUGUGAGCAAUUUUUCAGAUUAACUCUUAAGUACUCCACGGCUACAUGCUCCUGAAGCUGUUAUAGGCCCAGCCUCAGAUCUGUGCAGGGCGGAUGCACAAGAGCAGAAUCUCCGUGGACAUCUUUCUGGAGCAUCAAUUUUACUGCAAGAUUUUGAAGAAACACAUUUAAUUGAUUUUCAAGGUACAUAGGAAGUACAUGGAAUCAGAUGUUUGCCAUAGCUUGCUAACGAAUUCUCUCCUGCAUCAAGAUGGCAUGCCUCUCAACAGGACACUCUUAGGAGGCUGGAAUGUGUUAAAAUUAGUAUGUGAUCUGUUUUUGGUGAAGAGCCAUCUGACUCUCAACUGUACAUGGUAGCCUUAAUGCACAUCUUGGUAGAAAAGGGCUGCAUCUCAGAGGCUGCCAGCCAAGCCAUACAGGCCAAGGGAAGUCUGAGUCCAUUAUUCAUUUUAUCAAUCUGUUGUAGUGAACAGCUAGAUUAUUAUGAACAUUGUACACAUUUUACCAUAUUCCUUUGCUCUUCCUAGGGCAUUUGUUCCAGGAUUCUUCUUGGAUACCAAAAUGCAUGGAUGCAUAAGCUCCUUUUAUAAAGUGGCAUAGUAUUUACAUAUAACCAAUGCAUAUACUCCUGCAUACUUUAAAUAAUCUCUAGAUUACUUGUAAUACCUAAAUUGUUAUGCUUUAUUGUUUAAGAAAUAACAUAAAGAAAAAAGUCUGUACAUGUUUAGUAGAGAUGCUUUAUAAGAAAUAUUUUUGAUUUACAUCUUUUGAAUCCAGGAUUGCAGAAACCGUGAAUGAGGAGGGCUGACUCUAUCUAUGUUUGGAGUCUGUGAAUAUGAACUCUUCCUAUGUUGGUAAAUGGAAAUUUCUUUCACCAAA
ensembl:lncRNA novel transcript